CACGUAGGGGGCGAGCGUUGUCCGGAAUCAUUGGGCGUAAAGAGCUCGUAGGCGGCUCAAUAAGUCGGGUGUGAAACCUCCAGGCUCAACCUGGAGACGCCACCCGAUACUGUUGUGGCUAGAGUCCAGUAGGGGAGUGUGGAAUUCCCGGUGUAGCGGUGAAAUGCGCAGAUAUCGGGAGGAACACCAGCGGCGAAGACGGCACUCUGGGCUGGUACUGACGCUGAGGAGCGAAAGCGUGGGUAGCAAACAGG
rnacentral:rRNA from 1 species